GGUUUAUUAAAAGGAGUCUACUAGGGUAGGAUGGCAGUCUUACAGUUGCAUCCCAGUUGAGGCCCCGUAGGGCAAAUAAUAAAAAGUUUUUCUGUACUGAUUCAAUACGGUCCUGAUGUAUGUUGUACUGAGGGCACCAUACACAUGAGCCGUAUUCUUAAAUCGGACGAACAAGCGAGAUAUAGAGAGUCUUCGAUAUAUAUAGGUGUUCAAAUUCCUUUGACCACCUUUUUAUAAACCCAAGCACACC
rnacentral:lncRNA from 1 species